rnacentral:lncRNA from 1 species
UAAAUCACUGUCUUGAUAAUAAGUUCAAUAAAUGUAAGUAUCCCAGAAAGAUGAUGUUUUUAUAUCAUGACUUGAUAUAAAUAGUAAAUCAAUGCCUUGAUAUGCGGCACGCGUCGAUCUUUUAUAUCACUAUUUCCUCCUUCAACGGCAUUGUUCUCAAUCUAGGUGAGGUCCCAAACUUUCUUAGUAAGGAAUAAAUAACAUGAUAGAAAACUACAAAGAUAGGGCAUAAUUUGGAUGAACCACAAAGCAAAAAACAGAAACUGUGGUCUUAUCAUGUUUACUAUCUUCAACUUUGUUUUGAAAUGAGGACCAUUAUCAAAAAGAAGGAUGAGCAGAAAAAGGACCUGACUUUGCUUUGUUCAUCUUCAAGUGAGGCUGAAGAGAAGGAAAGGACCAUACAAUCGAAAGUUGUGCAAACAAACAAUGGGAAAUUGCAUCCUGGUUCCACUUUUCAUAUAGUAAAGGAUCUCCGUCAGUAAUCAGCUUCACAGCUUCCACAAAAGACAUAGAGGUAGCUGCUGCACCGCAAAGAAUAAGAAAUCCCUACCUCUAGAGCAUAAGAAUCUGCUAGCAACAAGGCAGGGCCUAGGGCUAAUGCUAUGUAAGUAGCAUGCCAUUCAACAUACAUAAAUCUUCCAAAAUAAAAUUUUCUUUUAUUUAGCCAAACAAGCGUAUAGAUUAUAGAGUAAUGCAACUUAAGCUUCCUAAUAGAGGGUGUUGAAAAAUCAUUAACAUAUCUAUUUCUAAAAAUAGUAAAGCUAGAUAUACAUCUAUGCGCUGGAUAUUGGUUGAAGCAGUGUCAACAUAUUAGAAUAGAACAGAUCUUUUAGAAGAAUCACAGAGAUCUUUUAAGGGUACUUAAGUCAUGUUAAGCUCAAGCUUACCAAGUUUAUAGCAAGACGUAUUACAUUAAUGGUUCACUGGGCUCCUGUUACUCCUUGUGGAGCAUAAAGGAUUCCUUCCAACAGAUGAAUCAAUGGAAAGGAGCAGUGUAUCCAAGCCAGUCAUAAUGCUCAGGGAUGCCACAAAAACAUCUCAAACAAGCUUCUAGCACUUCUAUAUCGUGAUAAAUGAAAACCAUCAUGGUAUGUCCCUUUCAGCACAAAACAUCAUAGUAUUCCUUGUAAGUCAAAGGUAACUUCGGAGAUUUUAGAAACCAUAUGAACAAAAGCUUUAUAUGGUUAAACCCUGGAAGCACACUCUUAAAGCCUCUACGAUAGUAUCAGGCCUACUCAUUGAAAUGUCAUCAACGAUUUUGCCAAUGGUAGACAUUCAGCCUUAAAUCUCCCAGACAGCUGUUGCACACAUACAGAGUCGAAAGGUAAAAAUUACAUCAACCACCAACUCGAUGCUUCAAGCAUUUGGACGGUUGACAGAAAAUGAGCAUUCUUAACAAACUACUGAAGUGACAUUACAAUUCAAACAUCAUAACCUCUAGUGUCCAGAGCCACUUAUAACUGGUUUUCUUUCCACUGCAUCUGCAGGUUUGGGUUCGAUAAGACUCCAACACUAUUACUUCUACCCAACAACUGUGUUUCCUAACUGUAAGAUGCCACCCUCUGUUCAAACUGUAGAGCAAUAAUCCUAUCAUACAUUGAGCAACAUCCACCAUUUGCUACCUCAAGUAGGUUAGUACACGCUUCCAAUAGACAGUAGUUAUUUUUACUAGUUCAGCAUUACUAGAUCAAGUAUAUCAUUUCCAGCCUAAAGUCGAAUUUGUGAAGGCAUGAACAACUUCACAACAGGACAUUCGAUUUUCAGAUCAAUGUCUACACACAGAAUUGUAUUUGUAUGCACUUAGUACAUCAGUGGUUGUUUUUCUGAAAUAGAACAGCAUCAUUUUUCAUGAGACAUGCCUGAAUUUCAGGGGCCUCCAAGAUUUAGGUAUAUUGGAAGUCUAUACACUAAACACGCAAAUAUUGAUGUUCUUUAUAAAUUUCUAGCUGAAGGGUAGGUUCCCUCAAUGUUCAUGAAAAAAAUAGUAUUCACCAGCACACUUUUAUUUCUUUUUGCCCAUAAGCACACACAGAGUUGAUUAGGAAAAUUAGCCGCAACAUCUAGGGUUGAUUUCUGACCCAUGUACUUCUGUGUGGUGAAUUAAUGUUUUACUCUCAAGCCUAAAAAGUGGCAUGUCAAUAUUCACAGUCAGGUACAAAAUCGAAUAGACAACUUACAGACAAAUGAGAGGGAGAAAGGCAUCGAUAUGCAAAUCACAAAAGAUGCCAAUCCAGCACAUAUGCCUAAAGUUGCAUGAAAACUCUGGAAAUUAGACAUAAUGCAUUGCAAUAUAAAUAGACACAGAUCAUAUCUACUUAUCUACAAAUAUCAUGAAAGAAACAUAUGUUCUGCUCAGAAUGCACCAAGGUUGACCACACUCUUAAGCAUAAAAAACUGGAAGGAGUGACUUUAACAACUUGUAAGGACAGAUAACUUUCUGACCCUUUGAGAAAUAAAUUCCCCCCCCCCCCCCCCAAAAGAACAUUUGAAGAUGUCUCCAAUAAGCUAUCCAUAUCAAUUUCAUGUUCUUAGUCCCCUUUGGUCCAUUGCUCUCCCUGUGAUGUAAGCAUCAUGAAAGUAAAAACCUAUAUUAUUUUUCAAGAGCCACUCUAUAAGCUAGUACAUGCUAACAACCUUUUUGACCAUUUUUUAUUAUCAACAGAUAAAUGGAAUGCAAUUACCAAUAAUUACAACAAAUCCCCUCCAGCCAUGCAAAAGAAAGGGCCCUUACCUUCUAAAGAAACAAUGCUAUGAAAGACUUGAAUGGAAAACCAACAAUAUCCCUUUCUUUAGGGGCUCAUUGCAUGGACCUUAGCAAUUGGGGCAAAGCCAUUGUCUAAUCCCAACAUCAAAUAUAGAGUAUCAAGUUCUUUACAAUGUAAUAAUGUUAUCAAGGUUGUGCCUCUGUGUAGUGCCUUAAUGCCAGACAAUAAGAGUGUUUUGGACUCCUUUGGGUGAGGUGCAUUUGACGAAGUGUGCUCCUGGUACAUCUAGGCAAGCUUUUUCGUAAAACAAUAGGCGUAAAAAAGGGCCCACCUGAUUAAAAUUCUCUUUUAAUUUAUUUUGUUUGUAACAGUUUUUGAUUACCUUUGCCUUUAUAAUAUGUGCCAAAUAGCAAAGUAUGUACUAGGAUCCCAAAUAAGAAAAUAUGGGAUUUCAUUAUGGGGCUUAUAUAAACGUAAGCUCUCCAGACUAAACAGCUUGCUUUUCAAGUCUGAUUAUCCAAAGGUUCAUAUCAACUGGUAUCAAAAUCAGCAAUAACAAGGGUGGUGACGUGACAAUGUUAUCAAGGACGAAACUCUUAAGCACUAAAUCCCUUAUAUUGUCUCAGGCGCAAGCCACAAAAAUCUCGCUAGCCCAAGUUAAGUAGUGUGCAAUAGGCAUAUAUGUGAGUUUUUGUGUAUAAGUAAAGCUUAAGACAUAUACCAAACUCUAAAGUGUGGUUUCAUCUAUCUACAAAACAUGCAAUUUUUUUAUUGAUCAAUUUUUGGUCCGUACCAAUAUUUGAAUACUCAAAUAUUGAAAAAUAUGGAGUUAGAUACUAUUCAUUUCUUGUUAGUAAAGAUAUAACUAAUUAAAAAAGUGAGAAACAAAAGAAAUUAGAGAGAACCUCAACCAAGCGAGUUUUUAUGCCUAUCUUAUCACCUUACAAGAAACGUGCCUAAGUGCACAAGGCAAUUGAGCCUCACUCGAAAAGGCUUGAUGUCGGCAUUGUAGCGCGGGCAUCCAAAUUGGUGAGCACGAUUACCAAUAUGUGCCCAUAUGCAAGUCACUAGACUAGGAUGCCACACAAAAAGAAGUAUGGGAUUCCCUCUUGCAUUUUAUAUGGACCUAGGUCUCCAAACUCAACAGUUAGCUUUUGAGGUAUGGUUCUCCAAAGGUCCAUAUGACUUUACUAGUAAGAAAGAAGAUAGGUAGGUACCAUCAACAAAAAUUGAAUCAUAAGGAAUGCAUCACAUUUGGCCCAACAAAGGAAAAGUUUGCAUGUUUUGUCGAUAAACUAAACCGCUCUAAAGUUAUAAUCGUAAUAAUACAACACAAAAACAAGUGUAAAUAUUGUGCCUUCAUAUAGCCAAGCACUUUUAUGAUACCUUAGGCAAAUAUAAGGAUUUAUUAUUUUGAGUUCACCAUACAACCAUGAAAAUAUUAUAUUCUAACAAGCUUAAUCUUAAGGACAUGACUUGUAAAAUACCAACUCUAUUUGAAAGCAAAUUUUUAGUAAUAAACCACCAUACAUUGACAAUAUCCAAAAAGUAUAACUCAUCCCAAUAUCAAUAGUUACAUUUAAAAGAAAACUCUACUAGCACUACAACAAAAAUAUGCACUCCAUCUAAUUGCAAGCUAGAGAACCAAGUAGUUUGAGGAUACCAUAAAUUGCUUCUUCAGCACACCAUUUGGUAAGAAGAUUAAAGAGGAGAAAGGAAUAGAAAGGAUCUAAGCUCUAAUGGUUAAGCUACAAAAUAGCAUGUAUGAUUAUUAAAUGGUGAUAUCCAACUUUAAAAUAUUAAUUGACUUUUAAGUUAUAUGCUUAAUAUGAUAUUAGAACUCAAGUUUUAUUAUGUUAUCCUUUCUAGCUAACACCAUGUGCGAUAGAUGACCUCUGAUGAGGUUUUCCAUGUGCAAGCCCUAAGAGCUACAUGUGAAAAGGAACAUUAAGUGAUAUUAUCCCAAAUCCAUUAAGUAUAAAGUUACAUUUUAUAUCAAAUUUAGGUCCUUUCCACCUAUCACUAAUUGGUUUUGGGUUCAAAAAGCUUUUUCUUCAGGAGGAGGAAAAAAAACGGUAGAAAGGUGGAAUGAAAUGAUUAAGGUGGAAAAUGAGAGCAUUUGAGUCUUUUCAUUCUCUCAAAAUCCAAUCCAAGCAAAAGUGGGAAGAAACCACUAAUUCAAUUAGAUAAUAAUAUUCAAAAUUUUUCAAAAAGAAUCUACCAUACGACAAAUCCUUCCAUUAUCAUCUCUUCUAUUCCUCUUUCUCCCUUCCAUAAAAUCUUCCCACGAAACACAAAGUUAGAUAGACAUUGGUUUUGUUAAGCAUCCUUGAGUAAAACAAAUUGGUGAUAAUUGAAGGGCAUGCGCCUUUAAUAAACAUCAUUGGGAACCCAAGCCUAAUAGAUGUGUGGGGGUAACACCACAUAAGACUCCCUCUCACAUUUAGCUCAACAAAGCCUACACUGAGCAUCAUGAUGGUCAUUAACAUCACAUUGGGUAGAAAAGAGUAACACAACACAACCUGAGCUUUGAUACCAUGUUAAGCAUUCAAAUUGAAAUGAUAGGUUGAAGGACACAACUUCAUAUUAAGACAGCAAUAAAGCAAGAAAGAAGAAUCUAGCUCAAACUAUAGAGAAAGCCUUUUAACACAAUAUGUAAAAUAUCAAAUGCUAGAUUAAGCUUGUAGAUAGCUUCCAUUUGAGCAAUAAAUCACUUUGAUUCACUCCAAUCACAAAAUAUGUGAAUUCAACAAGGUGAGUUGAGGCAAAGUAACUAAAAGUGAUUCAUAAGUAGUUGACAUUAUAUAGUCAUUGAAUAGUGACUAAUCACCCAAGUUCUUUGACAUGUACUUCAAUUUUAGAUCACUUGAUAUUAGUUUACUACAAAAGACUUCACAUUCAAGAGUUUGACUCUUACUUAAUAAUUGCUUUUGUACUUUAUAGUUUUGGCAAAGGGAGGUAGCAAGCUUGAGGCAGCAACUCCAGUACUUGCAAGAAUACCACAGGUACUAAAGGCCACCAUUUCAUCACACUAAAGCUUUCUUUAAGAAUCUUUAGACUUGUGAAUUUGAUGCAAGAAAUUUGUAAAUUCUAUGUACCAAGAAAAAAAUCAUGCCUCAAUUUUUUUUAAGUAACAAAUGCAUUAACUACAUUGUUUCCAAAACUAAGUUUUGGAGAAAAACAAUUCUGUUUGUCCAUGUUAAUGGAAAAAGUACAAGGAAAAACAAGGAUGGAUCCACGAUUUAUGUUUAAAGGGGGCAAAUUAAUAGAUAUAACAUUUCUACUUAAAUAUAAUUCACUAAAAAUGUUCUUUGUGGCUUUUUUUAGUUUGGAAGCCUAAUGAAAAUGUUUAAUUGUCAAUGCUAAAUUAUGUUUUUUCUACAUGUAUAUAACCACACAUUCAAUCACUCUAGAAUCUCCCUUCAAAAUAAACAUUUUUCCUCAAAACAUUCUUUGGUUAAUUUCUACAUCAAAUUAUUUUGUAAAUAAAGAAGAAAAUGGUGCUCCAACCCCUUGUUUCUUUGGCAGUUCUUUCACAAAAUCAAUUGUCUAUGCUCUUUGCUUGAUUGGUUCCUCCUUUAUCUUUAUUACCUGUUGCUUCAUCAUUUACUUUUGUUGUGUUUUAUAUUAUUUCUUUGGAUAGAAAACCAAACGAGGUAGAAGACAACUUUUUGACCCACUUUUGUUGUUUUGUAAAUUUUCAAAGCUUUAAAGAGUCUAAUCUCAUUAAACUCAAAUUUCAUUUAAAAUUCCAUCUCAUAACCUACUAUUUUUCAGUCAUGUUUUAUUGUAAUAGUAAAGUUUAUUAUUUUCAAUAGUUACAAUGAUGUGAUAAGUAUUUUAAUAUUUUUGUCAAUUUUAAUGGAGUAAGGUAUGGAGUUAAAAUAUUUAAAGUACUUCUAUAAUAUAAACAGAGUGAUUAGGGUUUAGAUUUCGGUUUACUUAAACAUAUUGUAAAGAUAUAAUCAUCUUUUAGCAAUUGUAAUUUGUUAAACUGUGAACUAUCAAAAUCUCAUUGUUCAUACUAGAAUGUUGUAAUGUCAACAAGCAAUUUGACCUUUAAGACAAUAUUUUCAUAAACAAAUAUAUAAGUCACUAUUUUUUACUUAUACAUGUCCUUUUUCUUCAUGAUUGUGCCCACCACACAUACGUCUAAAUCAUCUUCUCUACUUAUUUCAAGAGAACUAUCCUUGAACUUUAGUAUGAACAUGGAUAAUAAUUUUCUUCAUCAAUUAAUAUAAGAAAAACACCAACUUAAGCAAAACCAAAACUCCUGAAACUAUAUCCAAUUCUCAUUGUCACUAGUGAUCCGGGCAUCCUAUACUACAAAUCUUACAUAUAAUUUCAUAAACAAACCAGUAAAACAAGGAAAUUUCAUGGACUAGAGAGCAUAAAACAAAAAAUCAACAACUCUUGUUAUAGGGUUUCACAAAAUGCUAGUAUAUAUAGUAUGAUAUGCACAUGAUAUUGGAAAUGGUAAAGAUCACUUAAAAUACUCUUCAUAACAAUGUACUAUCAGGAUACUGUUGAUGGUUGAUAAGAACCUUUAAAAUAUGAUAUAGCGGGAUGUACAUACCAUGUGAUAAGCAAUAGCUUACAUAGUUAUGACGUGCUGCAGGCAAUUGAUGGGAGAAGAACUAUCUGGUUUAAGCAUCAAUGAUCUGCAGAAC